UUUCUGAAGAGGAAAUGACUAUGGUAGCAAUACUCCCAAGCUUGAGAGACAUUACAGGACCAUAAGUUUUGGAGAGAUUUGCAAGUGAUCGAUGGGGUUUGUCCCCAAGUUUGAGGAUGUUGCCGAUGAUUGGCAAAGGCCGGGGGCCUGGAGGGAGGCUGGCUGUACCAGGUUUCCGGCCAAUCGGACUGAGUUUGAGGAGAUGAAUGCAUGUCCACACAAAGGAAAGCAAAAGCAAAAAUGUUAUGUAAUCCAUUGUCUACUUCUUUUCACUCUUUUCCUCUCUUCUCUUGUUUAUGAGACACGGGAUUCUCCCUAUCGUCUCUGGUAUCUGUAUGGAAACAUGUGGACCAUGAAAUACUAAUCAACAAAACAAUGGUCUACUUUUUAAUUUCUUAUUUGGCUUUAGUGUUAUUUUCAUGAAAAAUCAAGGACGGACCACAGCCAACUUAAUAAACCCGUGAGUGAUUCUGCUACGAAACAACACCAACCAUGGAAAACAAAAUAAUGCUGCAAAACUAACAUAUAACACUGUUAAAAAAAAUCACCAUUCACAGACAAAGCCUUUUACCCAUACAAAUAUACACUAAAGGAAAAAUAUUUAUACAAUAAUCAUGUACGCUUGUCUUUAUGGGUCUUUACUAAUCCUCAAAACUUCUCUUUAUAAGUCAUAUAACCUUUUCUUGGCUUAAUGAAGAUGAGUUUUCAUUCUUCACUUUAAUUUUAAAAGUUAAUAAUCAUUUUUAAACAAAUUUUAAAAUAGAAAACUAACACACCUACAAGCUAUCAAUUUCUCAUUCUUGUUUAUCAAACCAACAACAUUUAUGUUUUACAUAGAAAAAUCAUAUAUAUAUAUAUAUAUAUAUAUACCAAUGUCAUUAAAAAUAUUCUUUUUCUUCUUAUUGUUAUAUAUAUAUAUAUAUAUAUAUAUAUAUAUAUAUACCAAACAUAAUUUUGUUUUUAUUUUUAAAAUAAAAAUAGAAUUAGAAUAUACAAAUUUAAUUAAACAAUUUUUAGUUUUCUACUUCUAGAAAUAGUAAAAAGAUCAAGAUCGUACAUUCCAAUAAUUUUUACUUAUUUAUAAUCUUUGGUGAAAAUAAAAAUGAAAUAAAGCCUGAAAGAUUAGGAUGUGAUGUCAAUAUGAUCAAUACUUGAGUUGUAAGUUGGCAUGGGGUUUAAUUAAAUAAAUUAUGGUAUAUAAUUAAUUAAUGGGCUUGGUCUUGUCUUAACGGACGAAACCACUUAGAGGAAGUGUGAAUAGGUAAGAAUAACUUUCUAACAUCGAUCUCCCUCCUCGUUAGGAUCCAAUCAAUGAAGUAGGCUACUGCUAUAUGAACCUGGAUGCGAUGUGAGGCAGUAUAGAAUGUACUACACUCAAAAAUACCAAAUUGUCAAGCUGGUUUGAUCACAUCAAUCAAUGGAAUACAUAUGGGUAAGAGACAAGCCUCCUCAUAAAAAGCAUGAGCAAUAGCCGCACACUCAACUCGUAAGAGGGUCAGGAUAUUAGAAACCAUAGGAGGAUCAAUGCCUUAAUAUAGACACACAUCCCCAAGUCAAUUUUUGACAAAUCUAUCAAGAAGACACAACAAAGUCUAAACCAUUUAUCAAAACACUAAAAUAUACUCUAGGAAUAUACUAAUAAUGGAUGUUAUCAUAGAACAUCCAAGUGCAGUGAUUAGGGUAUAUAGCCAUUUGAAUAGACAUAAUAGCCUUCCACCUCUAGUCAUAGACAAUGUAGGGAAUACGAGUACCCAAACUUAGAAAAAAUCAUAUAGCACACUUUGGCUCAACAUGUCUCUCAAAGAUUAUAUCAUAGAAUGCAAUCCUAUGUUUCAUAAAAUAGAAAUAAUGAAUGGGAAGGUUAUAUUGUAUAGGAUUGAUGAAUAGGUGUCCUAACAUGAGGAGACCUAGAAUGAGAAGCAGCCUACUUCUAGACCCACCUCUACCACAAGUCAUAGGAAAAAUAAGAGAAAAUUUUGGGAAUAGAAAUUAAUCUAGGAAAGUGUGCGAUCAAAAGUGUCCUAAACAUUGAGCUUAGAGGCCCAUUAAAGUCAAAUAUAAAGAGAAAUUGCAAGAAAAUCUUAUGAAGGAAGAGCAACGAAUGUUAGAAGAGAAAGGAGAUAAAAAUGGAGGCAUAUAGUGAAUAUCAAGUGUUGGUGCACUUUUAAAAUUAAGGACAUUCGAAUAUCUCAUAAAGAGUGUGUAGACCCUUAAUUUUAUUCAUAUUUAUAUGAUAUAAGCUUAUUUAGAUGUAGUCUUUUGACUUACCAUUUCUCUUGACUUUAUUUUAUUCCAUUUUAUAAUUAUUUUUAUUUAACUUUUUCACUUUUAUUCUCUAUUCUUUCUCAGUUCUUCCUUACCUUGCUUUUCUUUCUCUCCACACAUCACCAUACGUGCACCAUGAUUACACUUCCAUUAAUUUCUAAAGAAACAAACAAUUUCCUCCAUUUGUUUUUUAGAAAGGAAUGCGGGUAUAUCUAAGCCAAACUAGAAGUGGGACUUGUGUUGUUGAGUGAUCAUUGUACAUUCAAAUCUAACAAUAAGAUACUGGAGUCCUCCGCGUUAAUUAAUUUUCCAGAUGAUAUAUUGUUUGUCAACAUAAUGUUUGGGAAACACCCCAAUUUGCCACUUAGUUGGCCAAUCUCUACCAUCCUACCAAACACAUUUCUUUUUCUUUCCUUCACUCACUGUUUUACAAAUCUACUUGCAGGGUAACUUUCAACAAUGAAGGAUGGACCACAGCCAAAAGAACGGAUUGUACUAUAGCGCAUGGAAAACAAUAAUGCUGGAAACUAUCUUUCCUUUUUCUCACUGUUUUUCAAAUCUACUUGUUGGGUCGCUUUAAAAAAAAUGAAGGAUGGACCAUAGGCGGAGCUAGAAAAUGACCUGAGAGGGGCCAAAAUAUGAGAACAUAUUUCAGAGGGACAUAAAUGAUUGAAUUUACCUAGUGAUGUAGUGGCAAUGAAAGAUAUUUUUAUUCUUUUCCUAGGUGGGACAAGCACCAUGUGGCUCUGCUCCUGGAUGAACCACAACCAAAAGAAAGGACAAACCGACAUUGCUUGUACUGUAACACUUAGCAUGGAAAACAAUAAUGCAUGUUUUAAAAACUGAUCAAUCAAAGCCUGGUCCAGUUCGAUUCACAUGUUGAGCUGAAGCCAAGGAACCUACUGAACAGAGGUUGAGAUGGACCAAAAAUACCACAUACCACAAAUCUAUAGUAUGGGACCAUUGAUCGAAGAUUCAAAGAAAUGACUGUGCAACCACUAGAUCUAGUGCUAGUUUUGUUAUAUAACAGUUGCAUUAUUAGCUAAAUUUAUCCUACUUAUUUAUGUAAUAAUAAAUUUGAAAAAAUAAUAUAAGCAAAAUAACCUACUAUCUUUUAAAACUAUAAAAUAAUCUAAUAUUUAAUAUGUAAAUAAAGUUAAAUAAUAUUAUAUAUAUAUAUAUAAUAUAAAAUAUGAAAAUGUUAGCUGACUUAUUUCAUGAGCAUUUUUGUUUCAGUCAUCUAAAAAAAUUAACUCUGUUAUUGUUAAACUAUGAUUCCCUGCAAUAAAAACACUACAUUAAACCAUGAUUUCGAUUACUCUGAUGAGCAUAUUCCUCCUUAGUUCUUUCAUCUAUAUUGUAGCACAAGACUAUUACAACUUCUAUCCACCCUUUUAGCUGUUUCUCAUGCAAGUGACACAACAGAGAAAAAACAAAGGUCCCACCUAUUGUACCUAAAUCCUUCUUUAUUUAUAUCAUGAUUUUAUAUAUUUAUACUACCGUUUAGUAAUUAUAUUUUAUCAAAUAUUUUGAAAACCUUGGGUGGGUAUUAGGUAAUAAUAGGGUACAUAAACAACAUAGAAGUUGCAUUCAUUAAAACAUAAAAAUACAAUCAAACUUUGAUUGGAAUAGCCCGUAGAGGCUGGACCUUGUGUAAUGUCAACCCCAAUUUCUCAUUCAUGUCCAUAUCUGCUGGUUUCAUACCAUCGUCAAGCUUCCAAGCAUAGGAAUGAAGAAGAGAGGCCAAUAUCAGGUGCACCAUCCUAUGAGCUAAUGGCAGUCCAAGACAUAUUCUUCUUCCCGCACCAAAUGGAAUCAACUCAAAAUCCCGGCCUUUGACAUCAAUAUCACACCCCAAAAACCUCUCAGGUACGAAUGCAUUUGGGUUCGACCAAGUGCUUGGAUCUCGACCGAUAGCCCAUACAUUAACUAGUACUUGGGAAUUCUUUGGAACUGUGAAGCCGCGUAUUUCUACAUCAGAUUCAGCUUUAUGGGGAGCUAGCAGUGGGCCUGGUGGGUGCAACCUAAAGGUCUCUUUGACUAUGGCUUGAAAGUAAGGGAGCUUUGAGAUGUCUGAUUCUUGAACUAUCCCAUCCUUGCCAAGGACUUCUUGGAGCUCCCUUUGAGCUUUUGCCAUUUUUUCCGGGUUGUGUAGUAGCUCUGCCAUUGCCCACUCUAUUGUGCCUGAAGUGGUGUCAGUUCCCGCAAGAAAGAGAUCCUGAUCACACAAAGCAGCGUUAGAAUUAAGGUUCCAUUGAUCAUCGUUUACAAAUAUGCAGUUACCAACGUUUCCUACACGAAAUCUCAAGAAAAAUUGUACAAGAAAUAACUACAAGGAAGACUAACUUCUAAUUGAUUGUUUACUCAAGUGUUUAGGUCAAUUUCAGUUUAAUAACUUAACCAAUUUCACAGUUAAAAGUUAAAAGGAAAUGCAAUUGCAGGUACAUAAUAUAGAUACUUCAGUGGAGAAGUUACCAAGGAUUAGAUAGAAUGAUUUAUAAAUUAUUCCAAAAGUCACUAAAGCCAUUCUUCAUCAAAAUUAGGUUGUAGUUCAGCUAAAAGAUUGAGAAAUUCAAUCUUCUCGUGUGUGUAUAUAUAGGUGUUACUAUUGAAUGAAAUCCAUAUAUGCAGGAGGCAUUUAAAUAAGGAACUUAAAUUAUUCCAUAAUAUAUAUGAACUAGAUUCUUCAAUUCCAACGAAAGAGUAAAUCAUUACAAAUAGUAUCAUAGUCAACCUCAUUGGAGGAGUUUGUUUGGUCUUGCAUAAAUGUCUUAAUUUUGUAUAAUAACUACAACAUGGGAGGAAAGGUGUGGGUCUUAUAGUUAAAAGAUGACCAUACAAAUGUAUUUUGAAGCAAAGAUUGAGAUUCAAGAAAGCCAUGUCACUUUCUUGAAUUCCAUAAAAUAGUUUUACAUCUUUUAUGAAGUAAGCUUAUACUCUAAAAUGCAAUGUAAUGAAUGCAAAAGGUAGUUAAUAUGAUAUCUCAAAUCAAAGAAAGGAAAAAGUUUUAAUGCUAUAUAUGUUUGGAUUUUUUUUAAUUUUGUGGACGCGUUUUAAAAUCGUGAAAAAACAAUUGUUAUAAAUAAUAUCAACCCCAAGGUAAAGUUUGUUUGGCUAUAUAUGCAAGGGGUGUCUAUUUCUUGGCACUAUAUAUAUCUUAACUUUGAAUAAUAUCUUCAUGGGAAGGAGCAGGGCUCUAUCUACUGACACUAUAUAUAUGUCUUCACUUUGUAUAAUAUCUACAUGGAAGGAAGCAACGAAUGUAUGAGCUCUUUUUAACCUUGUAAAAAAUAAUAUCUACUUAGCUUGUAGACUACGAUAUCUACUUGAGAGGUACUAGUACAUCGUAUCAAAUGUAUAGUGAAGCAAAGAUUGAGAUAUGGUACUCACCAUAAGCAAAUGUAUAAUAUCUCUGCAGCUCCACUCUUGGUUAUUUUCUUCUGUGAGAUUGAGGAAGGCAUCUAGUACAUCGUUGCUUGCUGAUGAAGCUUUUGAUUGCAACCUUUGAUUGAUUAUACCUUCAAAAAUAUGAAUCAAUUUAUCGAGAUGAAUCUUCAUGUUUUGCUGUAUACCUUGUGGGUCAAUCAAUUUAAAGGCCGGGAAAUAAUCUGCAAAAUUGGGUCUUCCAGCGUCUUCCAUCACACGCCAUACAAUAUCCUUGAACUCUUGUGAAAAAGUAGAGGCGUGAUGAACCAAAUUAAUGGAGAAAAUGGUGUUUGAUAACAAAUUAAGGCUUGCUGUGAAGGUUGCUGCACCAAUAUCGACUGCACAACCCCUACCGCAACAUUCUUCCGCAUGGUCCAGCAGUUCCUGUACUAUUUUUCUCCUAAGGCCUUGGCUGGCUUCAAGCCGCUGCACCGAAAACAUUUCCCUGGUGCAUAUCUUCCUAAUCUUUCGCCAAUAAGCAGAUGCCGGACUCCAUACUACCGAAGAUUCAUGAUGGUUAUGGGCUUUGACGGCAUCUAGAACUACUCGGCCAGAGAAGGCUUGAUUAUUUCUGUGUAGGACCUCUUUGGCAGUUUCAGAAGAGGAAAUGACUAUGGUGGAAACACUCCCAAGCUUGAGAGACAUUACAGGGCCAUAAGUUUUGGAGAGAUUUGUAAGAGAUUGAUGAGGUUUGUCCCCAAGUUUGAGGAUGUUGCCGAUGAUUGGAAAGGGGCGGGGGCCUGGAGGGAGGCUGGCUGUACUGGGUUUCCGGCCAGUUGGACUGAGCUUGAGGAGAUGAAUGCAGGUCCACACAAAGGAAAGCAAAAGCAAAACUGUA
rnacentral:lncRNA from 1 species